CCAGACUCCUACGGGAGGCAGCAGUGGGGAAUAUUGCACAAUGGGCGGAAGCCUGAUGCAGCAACGCCGCGUGCGGGAUGACGGCCUUCGGGUUGUAAACCGCUUUCGCCUGUGACGAAGCGUGAGUGACGGUAAUGGGUAAAGAAGCACCGGCUAACUACGUGCCAGCAGCCGCGGUGAUACGUAGGGUGCGAGCGUUGUCCGGAUUUAUUGGGCGUAAAGGGCUCGUAGGUGGUUGAUCGCGUCGGAAGUGUAAUCUUGGGGCUUAACCCUGAGCGUGCUUUCGAUACGGGUUGACUUGAGGAAGGUAGGGGAGAAUGGAAUUCCUGGUGGAGCGGUGGAAUGCGCAGAUAUCAGGAGGAACACCAGUGGCGAAGGCGGUUCUCUGGGCCUUUCCUGACGCUGAGGAGCGAAAGCGUGGGGAGCGAACAGGCUUAGAUACCCUGGUAGUCCACGCUGUAAACGGUGGGUACUAGGUGUGGGGUCCAUUCCACGGGUUCCGUGCCGUAGCUAACGCUUUAAGUACCCCGCCUGGGGAGUACGGCCG
rnacentral:rRNA from 1 species